rnacentral:rRNA from 1 species
CUAAAUGAAUCCCUACGAAGAGAGACUAACAGGAUUCCCUUAGUAACGGCGAGUGAACAGGGAUAAGCCCAGCACCGAAGCCUUUGGUCAUUUGGUCAUUAGGCAAUGUGGUGUUCGGGUCGGUCCGCAGAGGCACUGCCCCACUCUGAGUCCAGCAAUGAGUAUGGUAGCAUGGACAUGGCCCAUUGAGGGUGAAAGGCCCGUAAGAGUGGGGUUCAGGCAGGCCAGUGCCUCUCUGGAUUGACCUUAGAGUCGGGUUGUUUGGGAAUGCAGCCCAAAGUGGGUGGUAAACUCCAUCCAAGGCUAAAUACAAGCACGAGUCCGAUAGCGAACAAGUACCGUGAGGGAAAGUUGAAAAGUACUCUGAAGAGA